AACUUUUGAAUUGUUUAUUAAUUAAACGAAAAGCAUAAGAGAUUCACAUUUGGAAUAUAAUCCAAUAUUAUAACGAAAUAUUAUGAUACUUUGAUGCGCAAUUACCAGUAUAUGUUGUAACUAAAUGACUUAUGUGGAUACAAAAUUUGCAAGUUGUAAUUAACAAAGCAACAAAUGUCAUUUGUUAGUUAAUAAACACUAUGAUUUCUCGUACGUGACAACUUUUCAAAAAGCAAAACAUCAUAAUUUAGGAGUAUGGCGACACAUACUCCUCAACGAACAAUCUACAGCAAAUAGUGUCUGACUUUAUAGUAGACUACAAA
rnacentral:lncRNA from 1 species